CCUACGGGGGACAGCAGUGAGGAAUAUUGGUCAAUGGCCGGAAGGCUGAACCAGCCAUGCCGCGUGAAGGUCAGUGCCCUAUGGGCUUUAAACUUCUUUUGUGCGGGAGCAAUAAUGGUCACGUUUGGCCAGACGAGAGUACCGUACGCAUACGCAUCGGCUAACUCCGUACCAGCAGCCGCGGUAAAACGGGGGAUGCAAGCUGUAUCCGGAUUUAUUGGGUUUAAAGGGUGCGUAGGCUGUGACGUAAGUCAGCGGUGAAAUGCCCCCGGUCAACGGGGUGAAGUGCCAUUGAUACUGCCUUGCUGGAGUGCGGAUGCGGUAGGAGGAAUGUGUGGUGUAGCGGUGAAAUGCAUAGAUAUCACACAGAACACCGAUUGCGAAGGCAUCUUACGAAUCCGCGAUUGACGCUGAUGCACGAAAGCGUGGGUAUCAAACAGGAUUAGAUACCCGAGUAGUC
rnacentral:rRNA from 1 species